CCUACGGGAGGCAGCAGUGGGGAAUAUUGCGCAAUGGGGGAAACCCUGACGCAGCAACGCCGCGUGAAGGAAGAAGGCUUUCGGGUCGUAAACUUUUGUCUUCUGGGAAGAAUAAAUGACGGUACCAGAGGAGGAAGCCACGGCUAACUACGUGCCAGCAGCCGCGGUAAUACGUAGGUGGCGAGCGUUGUCCGGAUUUACUGGGUGUAAAGGGUGCGUAGGCGGGUAUGCAAGUCAGAUGUGAAAUACCGGGGCUCAACUCCGGGGCUGCAUUUGAAACUGCAUAUCUUGAGUGCAGGAGAGGAAAGUGGAAUUCCUAGUGUAGCGGUGAAAUGCGUAGAGAUUAGGAGGAACACCAGUGGCGAAGGCGACUUUCUGGACUGUAACUGACGCUGAGGCACGAAAGUGUGGGGAGCAAACAGGAUUAGAUACCCUGGUAGUCCACGCCGUAAACUAUGGACGCUAGGUGUGGGGGACAUUCCACGUUCUCUGCGCCGCAGCUAACGCAUUAAGCGUCCCGCCUGGGGAGUACGACCGCAAGGUUAAAACUCAAAGGAAUUGACGG
rnacentral:rRNA from 1 species